CCUACGGGGCGCAGCAGUGGGGGAUAUUGCACAAUGGGGGAAACCCUGAUGCAGCGACGCCGCGUGGGCGAAGAAGUAUUUCGGUAUGUAAAGCCCUAUCAGCAGGGAAGAAAAUGACGGUACCUGAAGAAGAAGCCCCGGCUAACUACGUGCCAGCAGCCGCGGUAAUACGUAGGGGGCAAGCGUUAUCCGGAUUUACUGGGUGUAAAGGGAGCGUAGACGGCGAUGCAAGUCUGAAGUGAAAGGCGGGGGCCCAACCCCCGGACUGCUUUGGAAACUGUAUGGCUGGAGGGCAGGAGAGGUAA
rnacentral:rRNA from 1 species